rnacentral:rRNA from 1 species
GUGUUAGACUCCGUAGCUACAGACACGCUGGCGGCGUGCCUAAUACAUGCAAGUCGAACGGAGAUAUUCGCUGAUGAAGUACUUCGGUAAUGAAUCUUGGAUAUCUUAGUGGCGACGGGUGAGUAACGCGUGAGCAACCUGCCUUUCAGAGGGGGAUAACGUUUGGAAACGAACGCUAAUACCGCAUGACAUUAUCUUAUCGCAUGGUAGGAUAAUCAAAGGAGCAAUCCGCUGAAAGAUGGGCUCGCGUCCGAUUAGGUAGUUGGUGGGGUAACGGCCCACCAAGCCGACGAUCGGUAGCCGGACUGAGAGGUUGGACGGCCACAUUGGGACUGAGACACGGCCCAGACUCCUACGGGAGGCAGCAGUAAGGGGUAUUGGUCAAUGGGGGAAACCCUGAACCAGCAACGCCGCGUGAGGGAAGACGGUUUUCGGAUUGUAAACCUCUGUCCUCUGUGAAGAUGAUGACGGUAGCAGAGGAGGAAGCUCCGGCUAACUACGUG